GAUUUCAUCAUAUGUUAACUAUGUGCCCUUGGGCAUAUAGAUUCCUUUUCUGGAAAACAGAUGUUUUAUUCAUGCUUUAACUCUUUAUCUCAUGGAAUAUUUGAGAAGUCCAAAGAAGCAAAUAAAAUAUAUGAAGGCACCCGCUACAACAUGGAGGGCUAGGAAGGUAUUGGCGCUCAUCAAUGGAAUAUUAUUGUGGCUGUGGUAUUUUAUUGGCCUCCAUUUGGAAAAGAUUAAAACUCUAAGCUUUCAUCUGCUACAACUACAGGAGGUGCUGUCAUGAAACUGCAAGGAGACGGUCACUUCUUGGAUUGCGCUUCCCGCCUCUGGCUUGAGAAGCACCUACUCAGGAGUCGUGGAUCCCUGGCUGUACCCCUGCUCCUGCCAGAUACUGCCUGCCUCCCUGCUACAAACAGCCCGGGAAUCUGUGGUUAGAACCACUCUUUGUUGGGCGCAGUGGCUCAUGCCUAUAAUCCCAGAACUUGGGAUGCCAAGGCAGGUGGAACAACUUGAGGUCAAGAGUUCAAGACCAGCCUGGCCAGCAUGGUGAAAUUCCAUUUCUACUAAAAAUACAAAAUUAGCUGGGCGUGGGGCAUGCACCUGUAAUCCCAGCUACUCAGGAGGCUGAGGCAGAAGCAUCUCUUGAACUGGGAGGAAGAGGUUGCAGUGAGUUGAGGUCACAUCACUGCACCCCAGCCUGGGUGACAGAGCAAGGCCAUUAUCUCAUUGCAUCCCAACGAGAGGAGAAGAAGGGCAGGAUGCAUCUACUGUCUCUAUCUGAGGUAAAUACAGACUCAGAGACUCACAUGGGCCUUGAGUGGCAGCACAGAGUUGGAACAAGACCCGGCUCUUUUUAGAGCUCUUUCCUCAUGAUGACCUUGUUUCCUGACUCAUUUAUAUGUGAUAUAUGUGAGCAUCUGCCCAUUACAUGUGUCUGCAUGUAUGUGUGUGUUACUCAAAAUAACACAUUGUGCCAUUUGAACUGCAGCAUCUUAUGGCUAUAAGGCACCCUAGAUAUCACCCGCCCCCCAAAAAAGAACCACUCUCUCAAGUCUCUCAGCUUCCUGCAUGCCCCAGGGCUAGUCUCAUCUGCUUCUCAUCCUUGCUGACCUCACAUUCCAACUAGCCGCCUCAUCUGAUUAUGAAGCUCAUCUUAUGGUCAGACAGUCACCUGUGCUCUCCCCACCCUACACCUCUUCCUCUCCACCUCUGACCUUAGCUGCCUUCCACAGGGCUUUGCAUUUGUUUCUCAAUGUCCGCUCAAGGGCAACCUACUAAUCUGAGCCCCAGGGAGGCCCUGGGAGCAGAGGGGAAGCUGGAGAAUGUUUGUCCGGCUGCCAUUGACAUGGCUUUUCUUGCCAUUCUCAAACUCCCUGAAAGUCAAUUACAAAUCCCUUUUGUAAAGCCAGUAGAAAAGACGCUAUUUUUUCUAUACUUGGAUGGACACUCAAGAGGUGACUUGAUAGUACUUAAUUGUGUGGUUUCAACAAGUCAUUGAAUUCUCCCAAGUCUGUGUCCUUCUCCAUUAGAAAAGGGUGACAGGAGUUCCAAAUUUACGAGGUAAAUGUGAGCCAUGUGAUCUGAUGUAGAGAGGGCAUUUCAACAAAUAGCUGCCUCCGCAGAUGCUUUCAAUCAAUGUUAGCUACCAUUGUUCUCUUUUAAGUAUAUCAGGCAUAUUCUCGUGCAAUAAUGUAUAGUAGAAAGUCUUAUUCUAAGGAAUUCCACUAAAAUAUUAUUCUUAGCAGUGAUGUAGAAAUACUCAGAAGUUUUUAUUUAGCAAGGUAAUCAUUGCAAACACAGACCUUCAACAGCAACAAAAAAGACAAUAUUGAAAAUUUUGUUUCAGGAAGAAUGUGGGUCAGGAUGCAAGAAUGAUUAUGUUUAAGGAAUAGCAAGUGGCUCCAACAGGCAUCCAAGUUUCUACAGGUUAGAAAGCACCAAUUAUUCUUUUUCCUAUAAUCAAAAGUUUCUCAUCCACAGUGGAUUCUGGGCCUAUGGCUGAUGGUGGGAUAUGGAUUUCUUAUUAGGUGCCACAUUCUUAUCAACAUGUUUAAAUAAAAUAUCAAUGUUAGUAGCAUUGCUGCAUAUGAUUUUUGCCUGGCAAACAACAAUGAAUAGAAAUUUAUUUUAAAGUGGAAACAGCUCUGAGGGGGGAUAAAAAUAGUCCAGCUAUGUUUAUGAAGUAGACUCCACAGAGAACAGGGUGACCCUGCAUAACCAAGCUUAGCUAAACCUGUAGAUCCACUGACAACUGUCCAUAUGUUUUAUUCUUGCCCAAGCCAGCAUCUAGGAUUCUGGAAGAUGACAGUCCUAUCAAAUAGAAAGUUUUCAAGAUAGUAUUUCAAUAAAAGCACAUUUUCCUAUACAGGUAACUUUCCGCUCCUGAUAAUGCUCUUCCUGUGUAGGGCCCUAGGGAGUCCUCCACAUUUCCUUAAUCCACGUAAGAUAUUCAAUACUCUACCCAAGAAUAGAGGGGCCAUUAUCUCAUUGCAUCCCAAAGAGAGGAGGAGGAGGGCAGGAUGCAUCUAUUGUCUCUAUCUGAGGUAAAUACAGACUCAGAGAGUCACAUGGGCUUUGAGUGGCACCACAGAGUUGGAACAAGACCCAGAUCUUUUUAGAGCUCUUUCCUCAUGAUGACCUUGUUUUCUGACUCACUUACAUGUGAUAUAUGUGAGCAUCUGCCCAUUAUAUGUCUCUGCAUAUAUGUGUGUAUUACUCUAACACAUGGUGCCAUUUGAACUGUAGCAUCUUAUGGCUAUAAGGCACCCUAGAUAUCAACAUAUCGUCCUUUCAAAGGUAAUGUAACUUUCACUCAAAGAAAUAGAUUUCUUUUUUCAAAAUCAGAUUUCUAAUUAUUACUAAAGGUGGGAUCAAAAUCCAUCUUUUAGCAAUCAAUUCUGUAUAUUAUGCUGUAAGUGGCCCAAAAACAUACAAUUUAACCCUUCAUUACCUACUUUAUUAUUAACUGUUGUAUUAUCUUGACUCUUGAUUUAUUAAUACAGUUGUAAUUGCCUUUGCAUUCCAAAAUAUUCAAUGUUAACAGCAUUAUUUAUGCUCAAUAGAUAUUUGUUGUUACAUUAAAUCGAUACAAAUUGAGAGUCAAGAAAACAAAUCACUGCAUACACACACAUUCUUAUGAAGCAUCAAAUAUGGUAAUUAGAUAUAGGUCUGUUUGGAAACCAAAUCUAUUCUCCAAAGAAAAACAGUUACAAAAGGAAGCUUCUCAGGUCAGCUCAUAUGAUCUCAGCUUAGUUCAGUUGCACCCUGUGUGGGUUUACAAUGCACGGUAAAAGAAUGCUGAACUGAAUCUCAAGCAAAUUUUGAGUUAUACUGUUGACGCUAAUUAGCUGUAACACCUUGGGUAAUUUAUUAAUUUCAUGGGAUCCAGUUUUUUAAAUCUCAAAAGCAUAAGGGUUAAACUAGAAAUCCUCAUCCAUUUUACCUUAAAGGAUUCAAAUGGACUUCAGUAACAUUCAUGGAUAAGCAAGUGUGCCAUGCAGAUAGGGAAAGGUUACCAUUUGUAUUCUAAAAACUAACUGUAAAUUAUAGCAUACUUCUCUACACAAAAACUUGGAUACAGCUGUUCACAAAAGCAUUAUUCAUAAUAGCCCAAAAGUAGAAACAGGUGAAAUAUUCAUCAACUGCUAAACGGAUGAACAAAAUGUGGCAUUUCCAUAUAAUGGAAUGUUAUUUAGCCAUAAAAUUAAAUGAAGUAUUGACACGUGCUACACAACAUGGAUGGACCUUGAAAACAUUGUCCCAAGUAAAAAUGUCAGUUGCAAAAAACACAUAUAUUGUAUGAUUCCAUUUAUAUGAAAUGUCCAAAAUAGGCAAAUCUAUACAGACAGAAAGCAGAUUAGUGUCUGUGUAGAGCUGAGAUGGGGCAGUGGGGAGUGACUGCUAGCGUGCUAACAACACCUCUGUGGAAAACAAGUCAAGGGCCAAUGAGUGUGAUGCCAGAGCAUUUGGAAUCCCAUAAACUGAGGGCUCCAAGUCAGUGGAGUCCUAUUUAUCAAUGACAUUUAAUCAAGAAUAACAGAAAAGACUUGUCUCCCCCUUUUGUCCUGCCUUCUUGCUUUUCACCAGCAUGCUCUUUCCCAGGGACAGCAAGGAGGGAGGAGAAAGCCCUUGGCACCCGUACAUUUUCCUCUGAGCCUAAUUUCCAUAAAUCAGAAAAUGCUUGCAAUAUGAUUUAACAAUUACUAAUGAAAAUAUCGAGAAUUUCAUAUCAGCUACUUAUUUUGAGUAGUUGAGAAAUAAUGAAGCAAACAAAAAAAUUCAAAAGAGCUAAUUAGAUGAAUUUAACGUGUAUAUUGCAAGGAGAAUCAUAUUUUGCACAUUAACUAACAGAUCAAAAAGCAUGUAAUUUUAUGCUUAAAAGCACACUUUCAAACACAAGAUACUUUAGGCUUUGUUUGAAGCUACAUUUACACUGUUAUGAAGGCCAUAAUCUUUGCUUUGGGGACCCAAAUGGAGAAAUUUCUCUGAUAAUAAGAAUUAUCUUUCUACUCUAUGACCAGUAAUGAUUUAUCUGUAAUUAUGUGCUAUACUGUUUUUGCCUAAGAGUGAUCCUAACUACAUUUCAUAGUAGUAAAUUCUUGGAUUAGAAGGAAAAUGUUGGCUGGGCGUAGUGGCUCACGCCUG
rnacentral:lncRNA from 10 species